ensembl:lncRNA
UUUUUUUUUUGUUUUUGUUUUGUUUUGUUUUUAAUGUUUGGUCUUCUGAGAAUUAGCACAUUAAAAAAAAUCAUUUAGGAAUUCCCAUCAUGGCUUAGCAGAAACCAAUCUGACUAGUAUCAAUGUGGACACAGGUUCAAUUCCUGGUCUCCCUCAGUGGGUUAAAGUCUGGUUAAAGUGGGUUAAAGCGUGAGCUGUGGUGUAGGUUACAGAUGGGGCUGGGAUCCCGCAUUGCCGUGGUUGUGGUGUACGCCGGCAGCUACAGCUCUGAUUCCACCCCAAGCAUGGGAACCUCUAUAUGCCAUGGGUGUGGCCCUAAAAAGGAAAAAAAAAAAUCAUUUACCUCAUUUACCUCUUGCUGUUCUAAUCAUCUUCAACAUUCAAACUGGCUUUUAUUUUCAUUCAAGGAUUUAAAAAUAUCCUUGUUUAUUACUGACAGUUCUUUAGUCCCUCAUUUCAUUUUCUCUGUACAUUAGCAACAGACUGACCUAAAUCAUUUAUUUUAUGAUCUUACCUCUAAAUAUGAGUAUUUACAAAGUGCACAGGCUGAGUUUUACAGGUAGCUCUAUUUCCACAUCUUCAAGUCUAGGGCCUCUAAGAACUAGCUAUGUGGUCAUUGCUUUCUCUUCCUCAACAGCAGGUCAUGAGUUUAUAUAAAAGGUACUUUGAGGAGAUGCUAUAAAAGUAAUCCCAAUAAAUAGGAUUUGAAUUAACAGAAUUUAAUAGAAACCAGUCGUGGUUUGGAAUGGCUCAGGGAUAUUUGCUUGUUACUUAGUAAGGUUACAUAAUGGAAAAGAAUGUAGCUAAGGUAUUUUAUUAAUUCCCUUAACUGAGUAUGCAAAUUUACAUUUAACCAGUCCACCUCAGAAAAUAAUUUUCCAUAAAUACUAAUGGAACACAAACACUGCAUUCAAACUACAAAUUUGUAUACAGAAAUGAGGGUCUUCUUAGAUUGUAUGAAUCAAUCAAUUAAAGGUAAAUGUUCCAGAAUUUUUUGAAAUUAAAGAGUAUUCAUUAAAAAAGGGAGAUUUUGACACAUGGUUAGUAUCUUUGUCUAGGGCCCUAAAAAGUAAAGUUUAUAAGCAGAGUAUUGCUACCUACAGCAAUGAAGUAAUUUAUAGAAUAAAAUUCUACCUCAUCAGGUGAAUAACAGUUUUUUUUAACCUGAAAACACUGUUGGUUUUUUUUUUUCCUUAUACCCCAACUCCUAAGAUAUUUGAUACUUUUAAAGACUGAAUUAAUCCUAACCACAUCCUAAGUGGGUAUAGCAAGUAACAUCACGCCCAUUAUCAAGUCUGAGAAAAAGUACAGCUCAUGAUACUCAAAUUAUUUUGAGUAUAUAUAAGUUUUCUUUAUAUUAAUUCAAGAAUGUCAGCAAGCUCAUUUUCAUUAUUGGAUUUUGGAAAUUUCACUUUCUUACAGAUAUAAAGCUGCUUGAGCAAAACAUUUUGUAAAUCAUAAAGCUCUACUCAAUUUCCCUCUUUGCAGAGCUGUUAAAAAUAAUAAUCUAUUCCAAUAAAUUUUAAAGAUAAGGCCAGGAAAUACAACUAAAUAAAAAUACUCUUGUAAAAGUGAUAUACCUGGUAAUCACAAGAGUAAUUCCCCUGUUGCUAAAAUAUCAUUCUUAGCCUUUAAUUCAGUUAUAUUUAUUACUAUAGGAUUCAUAAAACUCCCUCAAGUUUUAUGGGUCUUUUAAUACACUAAUCCUUUGAAUAGUAGUAGGAAUGGUUAAUUUUUUUAUGGAUAAUUUUUGAGAUCAGAUUUUAUAAUGUGCUAUAAUGCACCCAUAUUUAGGGUCUAACAUCAGA